GUCGCAUGCUCCCGGGCGCCAUGGCGGCGCGGGAAUUCGAUUAGAGUUUGAUCAUGGCUCAGAUUGAACGCUGGGGGGAUGCCUUACACAUGCAAGUCGAACGGCAGCGCGGGGCAACCUGGCGGCGAGUGGCGAACGGGUGAGUAAUAUAUCGGAACGUACCCUGGAGUGGGGGAUAACGUAGCGAAAGUUACGCUAAUACCGCAUACGAUCUAAGGAUGAAAGUGGGGGAUCGCAAGACCUCAUGCUCCUGGAGCGGCCGAUAUCUGAUUAGCUAGUUGGUAGGGUAAAGGCCUACCAAGGCAUCGAUCAGUAGCUGGUCUGAGAGGACGACCAGCCACACUGGAACUGAGACACGGUCCAGACUCCUACGGGAGGCAGCAGUGGGGAAUUUUGGACAAUGGGCGAAAGCCUGAUCCAGCCAUGCCGCGUGUGUGAAGAAGGUCUUCGGAUUGUAAAGCACUUUAAGUUGGGAGGAAGGGCAGUAACCUAAUACGUUGCUGUCUUGACGUUACCGACAGAAUAAGCACCGGCUAACUCUGUGCCAGCAGCCGCGGUAAUACGAAUCACUAGUGAAUUCGCGGCCGCCUGCAGGUCGACCAUAUGGGAGAGCUCCCAACGCGU
rnacentral:rRNA from 1 species